AUGCGAAUUCUUUGCUCCUUGAGUCCUUGUAGCAAAAUAUGCCACAUUUGGUACAAUAUGCUAGAUUUGCUACUUUAUGCGAUCUUGAGUCGCGGACACUCUCUUCUCGGGUCAAAUUUUCGCCCCGUGUUUGGAUGAGCAUUUUCCUUCCGGGCUAAGUUUGGAAGUGUUCCCUGACCGAGCGUGCCGUGUACGUCUUGUGGAGCCCUCGUGGGACGUCCGGUGCCCACCCUCCAGCUCAAGAUUGUGCUUCCCUGGUGCAUGAAGGCCGAAGCAGUACGCGUACAGACGUUAUUGUUGAACAGAACAUCAUGUUCACAUUAAUUUUGUUCCUUUUUUCAGUCGUUGCAUGUUAUACUUAUAGUGGACCUACAGCAGACUGCUCAUCUGGUUUGUGAUAAUUCCUUCCUCUGUUUGUGAGUCCCUUUCCAUCAAUAUGGCAGCUUGUUUUGAUUUCCUUUUUUUCAAUUCAUUUUGCUGUACUUCCUGUUUUGUUUGCGCCACUGCCCCUCACCUUGCGCUCAGUUCUAUGAGUGGAGGGCGGCGUGACCCCAAGGGGUAGCUGAUUGAUAGUAGUAGUAGUA